rfam:Ictidomys tridecemlineatus contig035395, whole genome shotgun sequence.
GGGGUUGUGGCUCAGUGAUAGAGCGCUCACCUUGAACAUGGGAGGCUCUAGGUUCAAUCCUCAAUACCA